rnacentral:rRNA from 1 species
UACGAAGGGUGCAAGCGUUACUCGGAAUUACUGGGCGUAAAGCGUGCGUAGGUGGUUUGUUAAGUCUGUUGUGAAAGCCCCGGGCUCAACCUGGGAAUGGCAAUGGAUACUGGCAGGCUAGAGUGCGGUAGAGGGUAGUGGAAUUCCCGGUGUAGCGGUGAAAUGCGUAGAGAUCGGGAGGAACACCAGUGGCGAAGGCGGCUACCUGGACCAGCACUGACACUGAGACGCGAAAGCGUGGGGAGCAACAGG